AGAACGUUAGCAUAAAAACACCUGGGAUGUGGGAACACAGAAAAGCAUUAAGAGCUAUAAAAACUCUUAGAGAUCUUCAAAUCCAACUUUCCCUUCUGGAAAGAUCUAGACAUUGAGGACAGAGCAGGAAGGUGGCUCCCUUACCCAAGAUCGUUCCAAAUGGUUAGUAAUAAGAAAAGAUCUAGACUCCAGGCCGGCCAUAGAGCCUCUGAGGCCAUCUUAUUAGACUUGUGAGCCCAUUUCAGAAAGCCAGACCUCUCUGAAAAGAUGAGGAACCUGGUAUAAUUAACCAUGGCUUCCUCAAGCUUUCGUAAUCAGUCCUCCAAGCUAAUGAAACAUCUCUGCUCUGAAAAUACCCAAAGGUCUCCUGAGAUUGACCUACAGUCAUAGGACAGAAAAAGUCAGAGCUGGAAGAGCAGCUCAUGUGCUCACCUUGGACAAGCAAGAUACAACUUGGAUUUUCUUGGACCUUUCACCUGUAGUAUUGACUUGGGAAUGGUCAUCUUUUCUAAGAAAUCACUGUAGAUAUCAACUCCUUCUGGACUACCAACAUCCAAAUCCAGGAGCCCCUGACCUCUCAAGACUAAUGAAUUUGGUAAUAAGGGUAAAAAAAUCCCUGCCAAAAUUGCUGUUCAGUCACCUAUGCUCAAGGAAAGAAACUCAAAGCAGGAGGAGCAUCAAGGAACUUGAGAUCCAGGCUCAGGUUUUCCUAGGAAGGAAGAGGAUAAGGAGUAGAAGAGUGAUAAUGAGAAUACAAAAGGAAGAAGCGCAUGUAGACAUGUGGAUGAGCAAGGCCAACACUUGGUACACUAAAGUGCCCUCUUGCUGCCCUGCACCUACAAUGCAAAAGAACAAAGGAAAAGUCAAGUAUCCUCACUUGCUUCUCAUGGUCCAGAAUCCAUUACAUUUCUAUUCAGAGGUUCUGUAAAUGUAUAACAAUGUCUUUCCUGCAUCCAUCUGCCUUUAUUAUCCUCGGAGAACCUUCAACUAGUGAUGCCACACAUAUAUAAGGCAAACUAUAUCUGAAUAUUUAGGAUACUCACAUGAUAUUAACAAUAUAAGUAAAUAAAAUAUUUUAAGCUUGACA
rnacentral:lncRNA from 1 species